AAAAGAGAAGAAUAGGUGAAGCAAAAGCAUAUGACGUUCAAACUCUCCAAAUAAAUAAAACACAAAAGUGCGGCGAAUAGUUCUAAGAGUAUUCUGAAGAAGAGAAAAGAGGUUAAGAAAACUGGAACAAGAAAAUCAAAAUGUUUAAGCUUUGGCAGAGGCACGGCCGUAGAACUUGUUCUUUUCCUGGGUAGUCUGGAAUUUGCCAUGUCCCAUCUUUGAGGAAGUGUCGAUAAACUUGAGGUUGAUCUGCUCCAUGGCAAGACGGGAAGUCUGAGUGAGUAGUGACUGUCUAAGAGUCACAACCCUCUUCUUUGGACCCAUGCAGCAUCCCUUGAUCAUCAAGUAGUCAUCCUUCACCACACCAUAGUGUGCGAAUCCUCCCAUCGGAGUCACAUCCUUCUCGGUCCUAUCAUAGCCACAACAAUCAUCAGAUCAGUUACAUAAAACCAAAAUAGCAGAGAGUAAGUGAAACAGUAGAUAGAGAAAUUUCAACUGACCUGUCGUAUUCAGUCAUGGCAGUGUGCGUCUCCUGACCAACCUUGCCCAACCUGUAAAUCUUCUUGUUAAGUUCCGUACGGUGAUGGUAACCGUUCUGACCAGCUCUAGCCACAGUGUAGGAGACUCUAGCUGGAUGCCAUGCACCGAUACAAGCAACCUUACGCAGACCCCUGUGAGUCUUACGUGGAAGCCUAGUCACACCCCAACGAGUAACAACACCUUCGUAACCUUUACCCUUGGUCACUCCAAUCACAUCAAUCAUCUCAUCCUUCUGGAAAACAGCGUCAAUGGGAAUCUGCUUCUCAAAGAAGCUGUAGGCAAAGUCGACCUUCUGAGCAAUGGUACCACCGUUGAUCUGGAUCUCCAUCAUGUGAGCCUUCUUCUGCUUCAACCCCUUCAUCUUCCUGAUCUGCGUGUGGGCCAAGACACGGAUGACAGUUCCGUACUUCUUCAUCUUCUCGAGCUGAGACUGGAUGCUCUUCUUGCCUUCCUCGGUUUCGUACUGCUUGGCGUAGCCGGUGAAGGCCUUCUUCUUGGACUUGGCCCAGUUCUUGUAGAACCUUCUCCUGACCUCCUCGCUCAAGUGCUGUGCCCAGACGGUGUUGAGAGACCUCAGACCACGGGGGGUUUUGACGUAGGCAACAACACCGACGACCACCAUGGCGGGUGUCUCGAUGAUGGUAACAGCCUCGCAGGUCUCCUUCUUGUGAAGCUCUAUACAAGAGUGAAACUUACUGGAUCCGGGCUUCUCGACAUCUCUAACAAUGUGGGUCAUACCGGCCUUGUAUCCCAUGAAGGCUGUGAACUUGCAAGGCUUGCUUUGGUCAUCCUUAGGGAACGCCUUCACUGUUUUUUUUAAGUACAACAACAUUAAUUUGUAAAAGAAAAGACAACAAACUCCAAAGUAACUUACAUCCCAAUCAUAGUACUAAAAGUCGGAUUAAUUUUUUUAAUUUUCCAGAUAAUCACAAGUAGGGUUUCAAUGAAACGCAAAAAAUAAAUUUAAAUAUUUGAGGCGAUUUUUUCAACGGUACGGUAAAUAUUUUAAAUACUUUUUUCAUUCAACGCUUGCAAAUUAUAUUGUUGUCACAUUUUUAUGUUAUCUGUCACCACAGACGUAAUCGUUAAACACUAGAAUCAUGGACGUUUAUAACUUUUUUCCCGGAAUGCGCACGUUUGAUUUGAGAAUUGAGAAUGUCGAGUGGCUUAUCCAGGUACGUACAAACACAGCCACCAUACAAACAUGCGAGAGGACCCGGACACGGUAGCUUCACGUUUUCGCAAUCUUUGUCAUCGUGACAUUUGCUUUCUGUUGUUGUCGUACCUUCAUAUAGAUUAUCAAAAAUAAAUAAAAAGGUAGUGAUUAUUUCUGAUAUAAAAUAAAACUAAAACUUCAACCAGUUGGAUCCAAACUUGAUGAUUGUUUUCUUGGUUACUAUGUUUCAGAAAUCUAUGAACUCGAACUAAAAGAAACUAAACUGGACCCUCCUAGUUAACAUAAUUCAUUUGACAGAAAGAAACAUAUUGUAAUCUAAGGUUCAUAUUAUUUCAUACUAAAUGAAAAUAGCAUUUAUUUAAAAUGAUACAAAAUUGUACUCGUUAAUAUAUAUAAAACCCCAAUUGAAUACAUGAAAAUCACAUACAUGUUGUAGUCAUCAGAGAUAGUCAGAUAGAUGUAUAUAUAUUAUAUUUUAAUACAUUUUGAAAAUCAUAUAUUUGUAUACAAGCGAAGUACUUACAGAAGGCAUAUAGAAGGAACAUGAACAAGAAGAAGACUGGUUUUGCUGAAUUCAUCUCUAUACUUAAAUUACGAUAUACUAUUAUUGUUUUUGAAAUAUAAGCGAAAAUUUUCUCUGGUUAUUUAUGGCUUGUGAGUAUGAGGGUAACAUGAAUUAUAUAUUGCUUUUAUUUAGGGAAACAAACUUUUUGACACCAAUUUAUUAUUUUAUUCCAAACUUAACUUUUAUUAUUCUUAAUUACUAUUUUCACACAUAUUUGUUUCCUUUCAAGAAAUUUUUUUCAUAAUUAUAAUAUACUUUACUUGAUUUUCCUACAUAUUUUUUUACUUUCCACAGAUUUACUUGAAAAACUUAAUUAGUAUACAAAUUAAGAAGUCUUAAUUUGAUUUAAAUUACUUGUGGCCAAUUUUUUAAGUUGUAUACUAAUUAAGUUUUAUACAACUGAAUUAGUAACAAAUUUGCUUUAGUUUGUUUUACGCAUAUUAAGAAAAUGUCUUCACUUUUUUAUUAUAAAUGUAUUGUUUUCUCUAUUUAGUGGUUUACAAUAGUUUGGACCAAUUGUCUUUUAAUAUGUGAUUUUAUUUUUGAAUUUUUAAGUUAUUAACCAAUAAAAAUUGCAUAGGAACACAUAAGACAUAUAUCUUUUUGAAAACAAGUUUAGAGAGAAAAAAAAACAUUUAUCUUGCUGAAACAUGAGGAGUAUUGAAUAAAAUCCCAAAAAAAAUAUAUUAUAUAUCAAAGUAAUACACCUUGUCUUAUGCUCAAUAAUAGACCUACAAUAUUUAGACAUUAAUUAUUAAAAUGAGUUAGCAUAUAUCAUACAACAUAUUAUACCAUGUCAUCUUACAUUAUAUAAUUCUAAAUAUUUACAAAAUCAAUUUGAGUAAAACACUUUUGCAAACCAUAUGUUCAAAACAAAAUUAUAUAUAUUAUGUAAAUAACUUUUAUAAGAAGUAUUUAUAAUAAAAAAUGUAUCUUAUUUAAAUCUAACCAACUCAAUAAAUGUAAUUCUUAUAAAUGUGUACAAAAUAUAACGAGAGAGUAAGCAUGGGAAUUCGGAUCUUUGAUGGGGUACGGAUCGAUUUUUUUCGGGUUUUAGAGAAAUUUUUGGUUUGUGUUCGGUUCAGUUCAUUUCGGAUCCGGGUGGGUUCUAGUCCAUUAUAUAAAUACUUGUAACGUACCUGCAAAUUUUAGUUAUGUAACGGGCUGGAUUGGUUCAGAUAUUCAAAAUACCUGAAAACACAAAAAUAUUCAAAACACAAAGAAAUAUCAAAAAAAUCAAAUACUCAAAAAUAUCCAAAAUUUUAUAAGAAAUCUAAUCCGAGUAACCAAAAAAACACCCAAAUUUUAUCUGAAUACCUAAAAUAUAUUUUAAAAUUUUUGAAGUUCUAUCUAAAACCAAAACUAUAACCGAAAACUCAAACCAAAAACUUAAAAAGUAGAUAUAAUGCCAAAAAAACAUAUCUGAAAUACACAUAUAUACCUAAUAUAUAAAAAAAUAUUUGGGUCCUUUAUGUACCGGAUCCUAGACUCGAACAGAGACCCAUGGGUCAAAAAAAUAUAAAAUAGGUAUAUUCCCUAAGCAAAUAUGUAUUUUAGGUUUGUUUUUUUUUAAACGUUUACUAGAUUUUGAUCAGAUUUUCGGAAACGUGGAUUUUUUUGAUUAAAUAUUUAAUUCAGCAUAUUUUUAUAGGACAUAUAUUGUAUUUUAACAUGUAUUAAAAAUAUAUCAAAUUUUGAUUAUAAAUACACCAUUUUUAUUAAUUAGUUUAUUUUCACAAUUUUAUACUAAUAAAAAAUCAAAAAACACAAAUAAUAUUUAUAGAAGUUAAUGAAACACCAUUAUUAACUAAUAAACAUAUAUAAAAUGUAAAAAUGUACUUUCCAAAUAGUAUUUUUAAAUAAAUUUGAUUUUCAUAAAUAUUUAUUCAGGCUAGCUCAGUAUUUCUUAGUUUUAUGAUCAAGCCAGGCUUUCAUAAGUAGACUGGCUCACACAUAUAUUAUCAAUUUGCAUAAACAAAGUUGUCAUCUCAACUUAACCUACAGGUUAUCAAAAAUUAAAACUUAUAAAAUGAUAAGAACAGAUGAAGAAAAGCAUAUGACGUUCAAACUCUCCAAAUAAAUAAAACACAAAAGUGCGGCGAAUAGUUCUAAAGAGUAUUCUGAAGAAGAGAAAAGAGGUUAAGAAAACUGGAACAAGAAAAUCAAAAUGUUUAAGCUUUGGCAGAGGCACGGCCGUAGAACUUGUUCUUUUCCUGGGUAGUCUGGAAUUUGCCAUGUCCCAUCUUUGAGGAAGUGUCGAUAAACUUGAGGUUGAUCUGCUCCAUGGCAAGACGGGAAGUCUGAGUGAGGAGUGACUGUCUAAGAGUCACAACCCUCUUCUUUGGACCCAUGCAGCAUCCCUUGAUCAUCAAGUAGUCAUCCUUCACUACACCAUAGUGUGCGAAUCCUCCCAUUGGAG
rnacentral:lncRNA from 1 species